GAUGAACGCUGGCGGCGUGCCUAACACAUGCAAGUCGAGCGGCAGCGAGGGGUGCUUGCACCCUGUCGGCGAGCGGCGGACGGCUGAGUAGCGCGUGGGAACGUGCCCCAAAGUGAGGAAUAACUGCCCGAAAGGGUAGCUAAUACCGCAUAUUAUCUUCGGAUCAAAGGAUUUAUCCGCCUUGGGAGCGGCUCGCGUCGGAUUAGGUAGUUGGUGAGGUAAUGGCUCACCAAGCCGACGAUCCGUAGCUGGUCUGAGAGGAUGACCAGCCAGACUGGAACUGAGACACGGUCCAGACUCCUACGGGAGGCAGCAGUGAGGAAUCUUCCACAAUGGGCGAAAGCCUGAUGGAGCAACGCCGCGUGCAGGACGAAGGCCUUCGGGUUGUAAACUGCUUUUAUAAGUGAGGAAUAUGACGGUAACUUAUGAAUAAGGAUCGGCUAACUACGUG
rnacentral:rRNA from 1 species